rnacentral:tRNA from 1 species
GCCCGGGUAGCUCAGUGGUAGAGCGUUUCCUUGGUAAGGAAAAGGUCGGCAGUUCAAUUCUGCUCCUGGGCU